AAAGCGUGAUAGGGUACUUUUUGUAGAACGGUCCGGCGAGCGAUUGUAUGCAGCAAGGUUAAGGACUUAAGGUCUGGAGCCGAAGCGAAAGCGAGUUUGAAAAGGGCGUUAAGUUGCAUAUAAUGGGCCCGAAACCGGGUGACCUACCCAUGGUCAGGUUGAAGUGGAAGUAAAAUUCCAUGGAGGACCGAACCGACCUCCGUUGAAAAGGCGGCGGAUGAACUGUGGGUAGCGGAGAAAUUCCAAUCGAACCCGGAGAUAGCUGGUUCUCCCCGAAAUAGUUUUAGGACUAGCCUCAAGUUAGAUACCUGGAGGUAAAGCACUGAAUAGCCUAGCGGCCGAGAGGUUAGCGAAGCUUAUCAAACUCAGAAUGCCAGAGUAUUGAUGCUUGGGAGUCAGACAGUGUCAGAUAAAUGUCAUUGUCAAAAGGGAAACAGCCCAGAUCUACAGCUAAGGUCCCAAAGUCAGGUUAAGUGGAAAACGAUGUGAAGAUACGCAGACAACCAGGAUGUUGGCUCAGAAGCAGCCACUCAUUCAAAGAGUGCGUAAUAGCUCACUGGUCGAGCGUCUUUGCGCGGAGAAUUUAACGGGGCUAAACCUGACACCGAAGCUUAGGCAAUGUAGUAAUACAUUGGGUAGGGGAGCGUUGUAUACGCGGAGAAACAGUAGCGUAAGCGGCUGUGGAGUGUAUAGAAGUGAGAAUGCCGGAAUGAGUAGCGCGAAUGCAGUGAGAAUCUGCAUGGCCGAAAGCCUCAGGUUUUUGGAGGAAGGUUCGUCCGCUCCAAGUUAGUCGGGAGCUAAGGUGAGGCCGGAAGGCGUAGCCGAUGCACAGACGGUAGAGAUUCCGUCACCACCAAAAGAGUUAAGCACAGGGACACAUUUGAAGUCUCAGAGCCGGGUGUUGGUUCCGGUAGAGAUCGAGGGAAAUUAGUACCGAAGUCUGAGAUGGAAGAUGGCGAGAAAAGCUGUGUGUAUUUCUGAGGUGCCCGUACCGCAAACCGACACAGGUAGGUAGGAAGAAGAUUCUAAGGCCAACGGGAGAAGGGUUGUUAAGGAACUCGGCAAAUUGACCCCGUAACUUCGGGAGAAGGGGUGCUCCAGAGAUGGAGCCGCAGAGAAUCGGCCCAAGCAACUGUUUACCAAAAACACAGGUUUGUGCUAAAUCGAAAGAUGACGUAUACGAGCUGACGCCUGCCCGGUGCUGGAAGGUUAAGAGGAGAUGUGCAAGCAUUGAAUCGAAGCCCCAGUGAACGGCGGCCGUAACUAUAACGGUCCUAAGGUAGCGAAAUUCCUUGUCAGGUAAGUUCUGACCCGCACGAAAGGUGUAACGAUUUGAGCACUGUCUCGACAACACGCCCGGUGAAAUUGAAGAACCAGUGAAGAUACUGGUUACCCGCAACAGGACGGAAAGACCCCAUGGAGCUUUACUGCAGCCUGAUACUGGGAUUCGAUGAUGUAUGUACAGGAUAG
rnacentral:rRNA from 1 species